rnacentral:rRNA from 1 species
GACGAACGCUGGCGGCGUGCCUAAUACAUGCAAGUUGAGCGCUGAAGGUUGGUACUUGUACCAACUGGAUGAGCAGCGAACGGGUGAGUAACGCGUGGGGAAUCUGCUUUUGAGCGGGGGACAACAUUUGGAAACGAAUGCUAAUACCGCAUAAAAACUUUAAACACAAGUUUUAAGUUUGAAAGAUGCAAUUGCAUCACUCAAAGAUGAUCCCGCGUUGUAUUAGCUAGUUGGUGAGGUGAAGGCUCACCAAGGCGAUGAUACAUAGCCGACCUGAGAGGGUGAUCGGCCACAUUGGGACUGAGACACGGCCCAAACUCCUACGGGAGGCAGCAGUAGGGAAUCUUCGGCAAUGGACGAAAGUCUGACCGAGCAACGCCGCGUGAGUGAAGAAGGUUUUCGGAUCGUAAAACUCUGUUGGUAGAGAAGAACGUUGGUGAGAGUGGAAAGCUCAUCAAGUGACGGUAACUACCCAGAAAGGGACGGCUAACUACGUG